GCAGACGUAGCUCAGUUGGAUAGAGCAUCUGACUACGAAUCAGAAGGUCACAGGUUCGAAUCCUGUCGUUUGCGCCA
rnacentral:tRNA from 1 species